UAACAACACAGCCGGGAACACGUAACAAUGAGGAAGGCCCCAAAUCGCCAUUGCAGUGUCAGAAACAGCUUUGAAUGGCUGUCAGUACAAUUAUUAGACGUCUCGGCCCUCGUACUGUGACUGGAGACAAUGCAUGCACACGUGUAUAAUUAAGAGACACAUACUGUGUUCCAUGACGGGGGCCUGUUUCACUAUUAAUAUGCUUCACCGCAUAACACCCUGUGCUCCGGCAAAUCUGACUUUACGGAAUCGGUAAAAACACAGCUGAGACACGUUUAUCAGGACUGGUGAUUGCAUGCUUCCUGCAUUUCGGGGUAGGGCCACAGGAGGAGCUUUACAGGCAUAACCGCGAGUUUACAUUUUUAAUCUUCAUAGCAACAAGCGAAUUUGCCUCUGCACCACUAAAUUAUGACCGCCGCAUUCAAAUGCAAUGUAAGAUGCGGGAACAUUACUCAAUGGCAACAUAUCAAAUGGGAACAUAAUAGGUAUACAUAGGAGUCAAUGGGCAUUAGGUCGGGACCGCAAGGAAUGCAACGCAGUAUCUGGGAGAACACACCAGUGAGGAACGUAUCAUCAAUAGGGUUCUACUCUAUUCAUCUUCCUUCUUUAGAACCGUUACUGGUUAUUUUCUACGCAUUUGCACACAUCACUCAACUGGUUGCUGCGUCUGAGCUUUGUCACGCUUAUGUUGCUUUUGAAAAAAGAUGGAAAUUUUCUCACAAAUUAGAGUAGCAGCUGCAGUGCCAGUGUUGUCAUAAAUGAUCCACAUAAAGGUGCAGUGAAGUGAAAUUUGACAGUUUGCAUGCACUGGGGUGUUUCAGGAAGUUUUACUGCGUCAGGUAGCAGCUUAUAGGUGGGCACUGGCUGUGCUAGGCCUAGCUUUGUAUAAAGAGUAUACUCCGCUGCAACUUUUAUAAGUGUAAAGCAUAUUCUAUAAAACUUGAUUUUCUUUCAGUGUCCAAACAUGUCAAAAAUGAUUUAUAUCUCUUUUCCAGACCUUGAUUGUGCCUUAAUGGGUUAAUGAAGUGACAAUUAAGGCAAUCCCCAGAAGUUGUUUCUUCGACGUUUUUUGCCUGUGUAAUUACUCUUUAUGUUAUACACAUUUCCACUCAGCAUACAACUGAAUAUAACCAAUUAAUACGUUACUUGCUCUUCUCUGCAGGUAGCACUCUUGAACACUAAGAGGUGCCCAAAAUGGCUUUUGAAAUUAUAAGUGACUGCCAUGCUGCAUGUGUUCAAUGUUGUACACUUUCUGUUUUUCAUUUGCUGCAUCUGUGCCGCUGGGAAAAUUACUAGACAAGAUUAAUAAGGGGUAGUUGGUGAGAUGGGCUUACUCUGACCAAUGUUAAUUUAGUAAAUGAAAGGCUGCCUACCUUCUCAGCAAGUCACUUGCUUCUGAAAUGCAUUUACUCUUCCUCUGCCAACCCCUCCUUUAGUUAGCACCCAUUGCACAUGGUCUUGUGGUUAUAGUAGUUCAUAAAGCACUCCAUUCACAUUAAUUGGAGCAUUUUCUUUUUACUGAAACUGCAUUUAUAAAACUGCACUUUGCUCACUUUCCAGGGUAGUAGACAAGAGCAAUGUUCUAAGGAAAUGAAAAUCUGCUUGCAC
rnacentral:lncRNA from 1 species